AACGAACGCUGGCGGCAUGCCUAACACAUGCAAGUCGAACGAGACCUUCGUGUCUAGUGGCUCUUGGGUGCGUAACGCGUGGGAACCUUCCCUUAGGUUCGGAAUACUUCCUCGACAGGGGUGCUAAUACCGGAUAAUGUCUUCGGACACAAGAUUUAUCGACCUUGUGUGGGCCCGCGUUGGUUUAGCUAGUUGGUAGGGGAAGAGCCUACCAAGGAGAGGAUAGAUAGCUGGUCAGAGAGGCAGGUCAGCCACACUGAGUGUAGGACGCGGCCGAGACUCUUACGGGAUGCAGCAGUGGGGAAUAUUGGACAAUGGGCGAAAUCCUGAACCAGCAAUGCCGCGUGAGUGAUGAAGGCCUUAGAGAUGUAAAGCUCUUUUACCCGGGAUGAUAAUGACGGUACCGGGAGAAUAAGCUCCGGCUAACUCCGUG
rnacentral:rRNA from 1 species